rnacentral:rRNA from 1 species
AGGUCAAGCUAAGAAGGGCGCAGGGCGAAUGCCUUGGCAUCAGGAGCCGAAGAAGGACGUGACAAGCUGCGAAAAGCUCCGGGGAGUCGCAAGUAGACAUUGAUCCGGAGAUGUCCGAAUGGAGCAAUCCGCGUGGGAAAGCUCACGCAUCGUAUUCUGAAUCCAUAGGGAUACGAGGGGAACCGCCUGAACUGAAACAUCUAAGUAGGGCGAGGAAAAGAAAUCAACCGAGAUACCGCUAGUAGUGGCGAGCGAACGCGGCUCAGGCCAAACCGCUGGUAGAAAUACCGGCGGGGUUGCGGACUGCAUUUAGCAUUGUCAAGUUUUAGUCGAAGUGCAUGGGAAGGCACACCAGAGAAUGUGAGAGUCAUGUAGACGAAAAGACAAGACAGCGAGCAGGAUCCAGAGUACCGCGGGACACGAGGAAUCCCGUGGGAAGCAGGGGGGACCACCCUCCAAGCCUAAACACUACCUGAUGACCGAUAGCGAAGAGUACUGUGAAGGAAAGGUGAAAAGAACCCCGGGAGGGGAGUGAAAAAGAACCUGAAACCCUGUGCCUACAAGCACAUAGAGCACGUCAAGGUGUGAUAUGGUACCUAUUGUAGAAUGGUCCGGCGAGUUAUGUUAUGGAGCGAGGUUAAG